rnacentral:misc_RNA from 1 species
AACCUUAUGGACCUGCGGGCGUAUACCUGCGGAAGGAUCAUUACCGAGUUUACAACUCCCAAACCCCUGUGAACAUACCUAUACGUUGCCUCGGCGGAUCAGCCCGCGCCCUGUAAAAAGGGACGGCCCGCCCGAGGACCCUAAACUCUGUUUUUAGUGGAACUUCUGAGUAAAACAAACAAAUAAAUCAAAACUUUUAACAACGGAUCU